rnacentral:rRNA from 1 species
AGGACGAACGCUGGCGGCGCGCCUAACACAUGCAAGUCGAACGGAGCUUAGAGAGCUUGCUUUUUAAGCUUAGUGGCGGACGGGUGAGUAACGCGUGAGUAACCUGCCUUCAAGAGGGGGAUAACAUUCUGAAAAGAAUGCUAAUACCGCAUGACAUAUCGGAACCACAUGGUUUUGAUAUCAAAGAUUUUAUCGCUUGAAGAUGGACUCGCGUCCGAUUAGUUAGUUGGUGAGGUAACGGCUCACCAAGACCGCGAUCGGUAGCCGGACUGAGAGGUUGAACGGCCACAUUGGGACUGAGACACGGCCCAGACUCCUACGGGAGGCAGCAGUGGGGGAUAUUGCGCAAUGGGGGCAACCCUGACGCAGCAACGCCGCGUGAAGGAUGAAGGUUUUCGGAUUGUAAACUUCUUUUAUUAAGGACGAAAAUUGACGGUACUUAAUGAAUAAGCUCCGGCUAACUACGUGCCAGCAGCCGCGGUAAUACGUAGGGAGCAAGCGUUGUCCGGAUUUACUGGGUGUAAAGGGUGCGUAGGCGGCUUUGCAAGUCAGAUGUGAAAUCUAUGGGCUCAACCCAUAAACUGCAUUUGAAACUGUAGAGCUUGAGUGAAGUAGAGGCAGGCGGAAUUCCCCGUGUAGCGGUGAAAUGCGUAGAGAUGGGGAGGAACACCAGUGGCGAAGGCGGCCUGCUGGGCUUUAACUGACGCUGAGGCACGAAAGCGUGGGUAGCAAACAGGAUUAGAUACCCUGGUAGU